rnacentral:pre_miRNA from 1 species
UUCAAGUAAUCCAGGAUAGGCUGUGCAGGACCCAACGGGCCUAUUCUCGGUUACUUGCACG